rnacentral:rRNA from 1 species
GAUGAACGCUGGCGGCGUGCCUAAUACAUGCAAGUCGAGCGAACAGACGAGGAGCUUGCUCCUCUGACGUUAGCGGCGGACGGGUGAGUAACACGUGGAUAACCUACCUAUAAGACUGGGAUAACUUCGGGAAACCGGAGCUAAUACCGGAUAAUAUAUUGAACCGCAUGGUUCAAUAGUGAAAGACGGUUUUGCUGUCACUUAUAGAUGGAUCCGCGCCGCAUUAGCUAGUUGGUAAGGUAACGGCUUACCAAGGCAACGAUGCGUAGCCGACCUGAGAGGGUGAUCGGCCACACUGGAACUGAGACACGGUCCAGACUCCUACGGGAGGCAGCAGUAGGGAAUCUUCCGCAAUGGGCGAAAGCCUGACGGAGCAACGCCGCGUGAGUGAUGAAGGUCUUUGGAUCGUAAAACUCUGUCAUUAGGGAAGAACAAAUGUGUAAGUAACUAUGCACGUCUUGACGGUACCUAAUCAGAAAGCCACGGCUAACUACGUG